rnacentral:rRNA from 1 species
UGGUGGCGAUAGCCUGAAGGAUACACCUGUUCCCAUGUCGAACACAGAAGUUAAGCUUCAGCACGCCAAGAGUAGUUGGGGGAUCGCCCCCU